rnacentral:lncRNA from 1 species
CUGAAGGCUUGCAUUGUGCAGUCACAUAAAGGGAGAGCUAACCAGAAAACAGCAGCUGAUGAUCUGAAGCCAGGCUGUGCUAUUGUCCGGCACACAAAUGUUCUACAAGGACCCAGACCACCAUGCAGUUCUCUGUGCACAGACUAUGGAGGUUCGGGGAGGGGGGGCAGUGGAGGGGGCCAGGGCUUUUCUCCCUUCCUUUUCUUUCUUUCCUUCCUGAAACCUUUUCCUUCCAAUCCCUCUACAGCCGCGCACAUUCAACGGCUAGCAAUUAUUCCCAUUGACCCUCCUCACUCUCCAAAUGGGGUGUGGGUCUCUGAAGGUUUUCUCUUUGUACCUGACAACCCCAUGUUGCAGGCAGGCUCCAGGGAGGAGGUGAGGGCUCAGCUCCCUGGGGACGGUGACUGGGAAUGGAGUGGCUGUGAUUUAUUUUCCAUCGAGCAAAGUCAAAGCGAGGACUCCAAGUUCCAUACGAUAGCAACCACAACAACAGCUGUCAUUGGUUAUUUAGUGUGUCAGAUGCAACGAGUUGAGUCUGGGAAGAAAAUCUGGGGCAAGAUUCGGAUGAGCACUGAAUCUACACUGAAGAGUUUUCGGUGACAUCCUUAUAUAAGAAGUUAUUUAGGAAGAGAAUGCUAUAAGGGUUGAGAUUUCUAAACUCACUUUGGACCAGUGAUGAUGCAAACAUUUGUGACAUCAUGAUGGUCAUAGAUAUGAUGGAUACCUUAAACUUGCAGGUGAAGAGUUAUGUCUUACAUGUAUGUGACUUUGUUUUCUCAGGGUAGUGUCCAGCUUUAGUCUCAAAGGGUCAGUGACACAAAAUGAUUAAGAUCAAAUGCCAUUACAGUUAUCUCAGAAGGAAGAAAAAGUAGAGGAAAAUAUGUGAAGGUUGGUGAAAAAUACAGUCAAGAGAUGAGAAUGAAGUGAAGUAGUAACCUUGGAGAUGGUGCUGGCAGGUAGAAAAGCUAUUUAGGAGCUAGGAUUGAUAACUAGAAUAGCCAAUCGACCAGAUGUAGAAGGUGAGAGAGAGGAAAGAUGAAGCUUCAAUGCCUCUCGAUUUUCUAGCCUAGGAGAUGGGCCAGUUCGCCAAGGGAGGAAAUACAGGAGAGCCUGUAAGUUUAGGGGGUGGGUGGGGAGAGGGAUUGUUAAAUUUAGUAUGGCUCUAGGUAUUGAUUGUUCCUUGGAAUGUGAUUAUGGUAUCGCUAUUUUCUCUGUGAGACUUAAAACAUAUAUCAGGAAGUAUGAUUUAACUCAGUGACACACCGAGCGAAUGAGGGAAAACAUGGUGACUUGAAAUUUGUACUUCAA